CGAAGGCGAGGAUGCCCGCGGGAAUACGACUCAGGACGAGGGUCAGGAGCGCCAGGAGGCGAAGACUAAGGAUUUGUCAGGAUGACGAAACGUUCGGAGACGUUGUAAAAGGGAAAGGGAACCAACACAGGAGUGUUCCAGCUAAAGGAUAGACAGGGCAGUUGUCAGCAAACAUGGAAUGUGGAGCCCGUAUGGGUGGUGAGUCAAGAAAAAGGCGGCAGAUUACUCUGUCGCCUUUUUUCUUUGUCCGGAU
rfam:Yokenella regensburgei ATCC 43003 genomic scaffold Scfld72, whole genome shotgun sequence.